CUGAAGUUGAGUUGGAUGCUCAACCCAACUGAGCCACCCAUGCACCCCACGAAACCCAACUCUGCCCAUCUGAGACCAUGAUCUACUCUGGCUGCAGCUCCUGCUGCCAGCCUUUGUGCUACAGGACCACCUUCUGUUGGACCAGUGGCUGCAGACAAACUGUUGCAGGGCCAGCUGCAGUGGACAAACCCACAGUGGGGCCAGCUGCUAUGGAGCCAGCUGCUGCCAGCCUUGUUGCCACCCAAUCUGCUGCAACACCACCUUCUAUAGGACCUCCUGCUGUCACAUAUGCUGUGUGUCCAAACCUACUGCCAGCCUUCCUGCUGCUGAUUGCUUUGCCAAGAGGCACCAUCUGCAUAAAACACCAAUUUGUCAUUUGGGAAACAAAGUCACUGCCAGUAUUGCUGAAAGCCUGCGCACAGUCAACAACAUUACAGGCUUGUGAAUCACCUUGAGGAAGUGUGGACCAUUUCUAGCUGCGUCUCAUCUUCCUUCAUCUUUGGAUCAUGUGCCAGCUUCAUGCAUACUGAUAUGGAGUCAUGACCUCUGCCUUGACUCCACAGUCAAGAUUGUCACCCUCUCCCUUUCAAUAACAUAGAGAAAGAAAUUCUAGUGACUCACACAUAGGUGUCUACAACUACUCAAAGUCUUCAAAUCAUGUUUCCUUUUUCAGUGUACUCAUGGUUCUUAUAUCCUUCUUUCUUCUUCUCGUGAUCCAUGUAAAUGUCUCCUGAGACACAGGGAGUCUCACCUUUAUUUCUCAAUAAAGGCUGUACCAUUCGCGUCCCAUAUGAUGUUCAUUUCUUUGUACAGUGUUCGCAAUGUAGGUAUUUGUACACAGGAUACAUACCAAAUGCAGUACCCAUUUGGAGCCUCAUACAGUGUCUCACAAAUUAUUAUCUUCAUUUUCAUACGAAUAAACUUCCAGUGGCCUGUCUUAAGCUGAUAUGCACAGACUCAACCCAGACUGUGUCUCCUGCCCUUGAUGAAGCGCACAUAUGCUCAUACUCUCCAGAUGAGUUAGAAAGCACCCUGAGUCUCAAGAGUAGCAAGAUGUUCAUUUGAGUGUCUUCUUUGGCCAAGGAAGUAAUAUUCUCUUGUGUAUGCAAGUGACAUCUGGGAAUAACUUGUGGAUAUCAAUGUCCAACAAUUCAGCUGACAGUAGCCACAUGUGGGAGCAGCAGGACCUGCCCUUUGAAGCUCUUGUGAACGUAGGAGUUUUGUUGUUUAGACUCCUAGCUCCUCAGCACUCCUCUGCAUCAGACACAGGUGAGCAUGCAGUGUUCCCACAAGAAACACAUGGAGCUGACCACAUUGUAUUUGGUUCUUGAGAAUCACAUUCUUGCUUGGCUUCCUGGUCCUCAGGGCAUAUUAGCAGAGUAAAAAAGAAUCAGGUAGUUUUGCCAAACCUGUUUAUCUCCCCAACUGUAAGGUGGUUUGUCAUCAUGAUCAAAGUGUUACCAAAGCAAUUAAAGAAGAAUGAUGUAAGGGACUGAGAGAUCAUGCAAUGGUCAUGUAUGACUUUGAGUAAUUCAUAACUUCUGAACCAUCAAAGGCAAAGGAACUCCCUCCAGAUUUUGUGAAGGAACUGUGAAUAACAGAGGGGGAAAAAAUGUUGCCUGCUCUGUGGGGGUGAGGACAAUGUGAGGAA